GUCGCGGUGGCUCAGUUGGGAAAAGGACUGGGGCUCCUUGCUUUGGAGUAGGAGGUCCCUGGUUCAACCCCCGCUGCGGCC